rnacentral:rRNA from 1 species
GAUCAUGGCUCAGGAUGAACGCUAGCUACAGGCUUAACACAUGCAAGUCGAGGGGCAGCAUGGUCUUAGCUUGCUAAGGCCGAUGGCGACCGGCGCACGGGUGAGUAACACGUAUCCAACCUGCCGUCUACUCUUGGACAGCCUUCUGAAAGGAAGAUUAAUACAAGAUGGCAUCAUGAGUCCGCAUGUUCACAUGUAAGUUUAAAAGGUUACGUUCCGGUAGACGAGGU